GUAUCUCGUUCAGCUUAGAGGAUAGUAAAAGUUUCAGCAAGUUCUCGUAUGGUGAACCAGCGUGAGGGAUCAUUACCGAGUUAUUCAACUCAUCAACCCUGUGAACAUACCUAAACGUUGCUUCGGCGGGAACAGACGGCCCCGUGAAACGGGCCGCCCCCGCCAGAGGACCCCUAACUCUGUUUCUAUAAUGUUUCUUCUGAGUAAAACAAGCAAAUAAAUUAAAACUUUCAACAACGGAUCUCUUGGCUCUGGCAUCGAUGAAGAACGCAGCGAAAUGCGAUAAGUAAUGUGAAUUGCAGAAUUCAGUGAAUCAUCGAAUCUUUGAACGCACAUUGCGCCCGCCAGUAUUCUGGCGGGCAUGCCUGUUCGAGCGUCAUUACAACCCUCAGGCCCCCGGGCCUGGCGUUGGGGAUCGGCGGAGCCCCCCGUGGGCACACGCCGUCCCCCAAAUACAGUGGCGGUCCCGCCGCAGCUUCCAUCGCGUAGUAGCUAACACCUCGCGACUGGAGAGCGGCGCGGCCACGCCGUAAAACACCCAACUCUUCUGAAGUUGACCUCGAAUCAGGUAGGAAUACCCGCUGAACUUAAGCAUAUCAAUAAGCCGGAGGAA
rnacentral:rRNA from 1 species